UAAUAACAGAUGGAUGGUGCUGUGCUGGUUAGAUUAAUAGGUUCUGGGGUUUGAUAACAGAUGGAUUGUUCUGUGCUGGUUAGAUUAGUAGGUUCUGGGGUUUAAUAACAGAUGGAUGGAGCUGUGCUGGUUAGAUUAGUAGAUUCUGGGGUUUGAUAACAGAUGGAUGGUGCUGUGCUGGUUAGAUUAGUAGAUUCUGGGGUUUAAUAACAGAUGGAUGGAGCUGUGCUGGUUAGAUUAAUAGGUUGUGGGGUUUAAUAACAGAUGGAUGGUGCUGUGCUGGUUAGAUUAGUAGGUUGUGGGGUUUAAUAACAGAUGGAUGGUGCUGUGCUGGUUAGAUUAGUAGGUUGUGGGGUUUAAUAACAGAUGGAUGGAGCUGUGCUGGUUAUAUUAGUAGGUUCUGGGGUUUAAUAACAGAUGGAUUGUUCUGUGCUGGUUAGAUUAGUAGGUUCUGGGGUUUGAUAACAGAUGGAUGGUGCUGUGCUGGUUAGAUUAGUAGGUUGUGGGGUUUAAUAACAGAUGGAUGGAGCUGUGCUGGUUAGAUUAGUAGAUUCUGGGGUUUAAUAACAGAUGGAUGGAGCUGUGCUGGUUAGAUUAGUAGGUUGUGGGGUUUAAUAACAGAUGGAUGGUGCUGUGCUGGUUAGAUUAGUAGAUUCUGGGGUUUAAUAACAGAUGGAUGGUGCUGUGCUGGUUAGAUUAGUAGAUUCUGGGGUUUAAUAACAGAUGGAUGGAGCUGUGCUGGUUAGAUUAGUAGGUUGUGGGGUUUGAUAACAGAUGGAUGGAGCUGUGCUGGUUAGAUUAGUAGAUUCUGGGGUUUGAUAACAGAUGGAUGGUGCUGUGCUGGUUAGAUUAGUAGAUUCUGGGGUUUAAUAACAGAUAGAUGGUACUGUGCUGGUUAGAUUAGUAGGUGCU